rnacentral:tRNA from 4 species
AGCAUGUUAGCUCAGGGGAACGAGCGCCGGGCUCAUAACCCGGAGGUAUGUUUAACCGAAUCCAAUUUCACCCACAACAUCAUAACUAACAAUCAAUAGGUCCCUGGAUCGAAACCAGGACAUGCUA